CUUCAAAUUAUGUACAGCCAAUCGUCUUUGUUAUGGUUAUGUGUACAAAGUUGGCACCAGUUGUCAACUAAAUUUGAUGAACGGAGCUGUAAUUAACACUAACGAUGAUGAAACGCAAGUUAGUCCAUACAUUACCUGCCCCGUCAAAUCAGGUGGUUGUUUGGUAUAUUCGGAUCUUCGUAUUACAGCUAUAAAUUUCACCAAUCACAAGGAUUGCUUCAACACUUGCGUGGUAAAGCCGACGUGUGUUGCAUAUUCCUAUUCCAAAAGACUUACGUAUUGUGCUCAUUACACCUUGGAUAAAACAGUGAUUGACCCAAACAUCGACAAGUCAGCCACAGCUUAUCUUCGCUGCCCAAUGCAGUAAAAAUGGUGUUAUAUAGCGUGGAAUUGGAUGCUCAAUUUGGAGUAUUAUAUUCUAAUUA